rnacentral:rRNA from 1 species
UACAGAGGGGGCAAGCGUUGUUCGGAAUUACUGGGCGUAAAGGGCGCGUAGGCGGCCUGUUAAGUCGAACGUGAAAUCCCCGGGCUCAACCCGGGAACUGCGUCCGAUACUGGCAGGCUUGAAUCCGGGAGAGGGAUGCGGAAUUCCAGGUGUAGCGGUGAAAUGCGUAGAUAUCGGGAGGAACACCAGUGGCGAAGGCGGCUGCCUGGGCCAGAUCUGACGCUGAGGCGCGAAAGCGUGGGGAGCAAACAGG